UCCUGGGCUGUGACCAUGAGCCCAUCUCGUCGACACUGCUCAUCUAUCUUUCAUUCUACAGACGGCUGUGGGGUCUUUAGGAGUUGACCCUAAGCUGAGUGAGCAUUCGCGGAGAGCAGACAGAAAGCGUGUCGAGGGCGAUGGAGAGGGAGUCUUCAGGAACAGAAAUACUCAAAUCGUCCAGGUCGUUCAACAGCUGCUUACAACUCCCAAAUUUACUUAUUUCCUCUUAUCAACCUGGAUUAUCAUUUUUAAGUUGAGUUAAGAUCACCAAAAUAAAGGAUUGUCGUUUGAGAGACAGCUGGGAAUUGCUGUUUGUGGCUUUAAAGAGAAUUACCUGGAGGAAAGAUUUUAAAGACUAUAACAAUGAGCUUUAUGGUACUUAUAGUUGAAGACAGUGGAAUAAGCUGCUUUGGGAUGGCAGAGGCAGUGAGUCUCUUUUGCGAUGUUGUACAAGUAGAGGCUUGGGCAUCAUUUUGUGGUGAAUUAAACCUGUAAGGUUUCCCCUAGUCUUACAGUUCUGUAACAGCGUGGAAACUAAAUAGAGCUGAAAACUAAUUUUGCUUUUGUUUU